rnacentral:rRNA from 1 species
GUUUGAUCCUGGCUCAGAAUCAACGCUGGCGGCGUGCCUAACACAUGCAAGUCGAACGAGAAAGUGGAGCAAUCCAUGAGUACAGUGGCGUACGGGUGAGUAACACGUGACUAACCUACCCUCGAGUGGGGAAUAACCUCGGGAAACCGGGGCUAAUACCGCAUAACAUCUUCGGAUCAAAUGCGUAAGCAGCUUGAGGAGGGGGUCGCGGCCGAUUAGCUAGUUGGCGGGGUAAUGGCCCACCAAGGCAAUGAUCGGUAGCCGGCCUGAGAGGGCGCACGGCCACACUGGAACUGAAACACGGUCCAGACUCCUACGGGAGGCAGCGGUGGGGAAUUUUGCGCAAUGGGGGAAACCCUGACGCAGCAACGCCGCGUGGAGGAUGAAGCCCCUUGGGGUGUAAA